rnacentral:rRNA from 1 species
AAUCAACGCUGGCGGCGUGCCUAACACAUGCAAGUCGAACGGGAAAGUGGAGCAAUCCAUGAGUAUAGUGGCGACCGGGUGAGUAACACGUGACUAACCUACCUUCAAGUGGGGGAUAACCUCGGGAAACCGGGGCGUAAUACCGCAUAAUAUCCUUGUUAUGAGAAAGCAGGGAUCAAAGGAGCAAUUCGCUGGAAGAGGGGGUCGCGGCUGAUUAGCUAGUUGGUGGGGUAAGUGGCCCACCAAGG